GGGGGCAUAGCUCAGUUGGGAGAGCAGCAGACUGAAGUAACGUGGAUAGUCGCCUUCUGAAGGUCCCGCGUUCAAUCCGCGGUGCCCCCA